UUGACUGUUUUGCAAAGACAUUGCCUACCGUUAAAGAUGGUGGGUAAUUUCUGCCCGCUGCAAUUUUGUGAAGGGCUGCAGUAUUUUGACUGUAUAAAGGUAGCAUAAUCAUUAGCUUUUUAAUUGGGAGCUGGUAUGAACGGGAGAUUGGGGGAGAAGUAUAUUUAUAAAGGUUGUUGAAUUUUAUGGUUUUGUGAAAAAUCAAAAAUGAGUUUAAGGGACAAGAAGACCCUAUUUAAGUUUAAUUGAUGUUUAUGAAAAGUAUAAAGGAAUAUAAAAUUUAAGAAUUAUUAGUAUAAUUUUUAGUCAUUUGUUUAGCUGGGGCGGUUGAGUUGAAAAACACGAUUUUUGUUUUAAUGUUAGUCGGGCGAAUUGAAAGGACCUAAGGGGGUUAAUUAAAUGAAUAAUUACUUUAGGGAUAACAGCGUUAUUAUUUUUGAGAGUUCUGAUUGACGGAGUAGUUUGCGACCUCGAUGUUGGAUUAGGGUUAGCGNNGGUGCNGUAGUCAGCGUNUANGGUCCC
rnacentral:rRNA from 1 species